CUCACUACCUGCGCUAUGUUAAAUAUUGUUUAACCACUAAAAUCGACUCGCAUAGAAGAAAACAGCCAACGAGAAUUGAGCAUACAAAACAACACCUUAACCUUGCUCCUUCUCCUCCCGCCAUUCGAGAGUAAGGCUCGGCCAACCAAAAGCCAGUGGCAAAGUGCGAAAACGGUAAACCAUAAAUAAUUAAUGAAACGUUAAUGAGAGCCAAUGGGCUACCUGACAAAAAGCAAGUGUGAAAGUAAAAGUGACACUUCCGUUUGACAGCUACCGCCAAACUCCACUGAGGCCAGUACAUUACCAGUAGUAUCCAUGUGUGUAUAAGUGCGAGUCCGUCCUGUCCAGUCACGAUUGUCACGUGCCGUACUGCUGCAUGAUUAGCACCCUGGAUUGGCACAAUAUUUAAAUGCUGAUAAUUAAUGCGCGAGCGGGUGAAGAAAGGAAAACAAGGAGUUGCUAGUAGAACUAGCUCCAGUACCCCGGACCUAGUGACCAAUUAAGUGGCUAGACCCCGCUGACCACCCGCUCCAGUGUGUCCUAGACACGGAAAAGGGGUCACCCAGAGCUGCCCCGGCAGUCGGCGAAGUUUAGAAUAAUUUCCAAGUGCAAGUGCAAGAGAACGGAAGAGUUGUCGUACUGUGAGAGAGCUGAAAGGUGCCCCAGAACUAGGGCUUGGCCUUCUGGAUUAUGCUGUCAGCAAGCUACUCGGUCAACUCGGCUGGAGCCCGGUCGGUGUGUGAUAGUUAAGGUUGCGCUAGUUAGUACCGGUGCCAAAGCGGUCUGGUGCGACCAGAUUUGCAGUGAUUGUGUUUUAACGUUCUUUUUUUUUUCUACUCCAAGAACCUCGACUCGCUGAUAAGUGACUGCUGGGUGAUCUUGCCACUAUUACUACCCCCGGUGACUGUGGCGUGCUAGUUUGUGUGUAUUUUUUUGCCGAGAACAGUGUUUAGUGAAUUGGUUACUGUGUGCUGUUGUUGGAGAUUGGUGGUCAACCUGACCCCCCUGAUCGUAGAACGUGCGACGGCAGUACGGACCCCUGCACUAAGAAACGACUGUGACUGUUCGAUUCACAAAGGAGAAGGAUUAUCAUUUUGAUACGGUGUACUGGAAUUUUAAUGGUUUACAUGAAUGGACUCGGAAAUGACCCUCUGUCUGCGAAGGAGGCAGAGGGCCCACCAGUCCAGCUUGAACCAGUUGAUCUCAGCGUUCGCUCGCCACCAAAAG